rnacentral:lncRNA from 10 species
UGUUUCCCAUCUUACACUUUUUCAGAAUAGAUAUUCCCAUGGUAGAAUCAUGGGCUGACACUAUCACAUUAUAAAAUUUUCUCUGGUUCUGUCUCUUCCCCUCAGGAACACACAUGGAUGAUUCUUAUUACUUUAUGCCCACAUUAAAUAAUUGUAUACACCAUGAACUGGAGGCCUUGUGUUUUGAGUGAAAAGCUUUGGAUUUGAGUUUGUGUUUCCAAACACACUUCUGAGGUAGAAAUUGUCAAGAGCUUUCCCAAACUCUUUUUUUAAUCCUCCUGAGCUCACCAUCUCUGGGACUGUCUUGCAAUUGGACAGCCAUGCAAUUGAGCUUCAGCCAAUGAAACAUGAGUGGAGGGCGUGACACACAACCUGCCAUGUUCAAGCCUCCAUACUCUUUCCCUCCUCCAGCUUUGUGCUGAUGAACAUGGUCACCUUGAAAGGUGUGUUGAAUAUGGCAGAGCCAGAAAAUGCAAGGAGCUUCUUCUCUGGAUCACCACUUGAAGAAGAGCCACUUGCUCCUCAGGAACCCUAUUUUGGACUGACGUUUAAUACAACAUGGAAGCCACCAAGGCUUACAGAAUGUGCUUUCCAGAGCUGUGACCUGAACUGUACCUGGGGCCUUUUGAGUGAGGCUGGAACUGGAGUGGCCUGGAUGCAGAGAGCAGUGUCCUAAGGCUGUGCAGGUUGCAAGAAAGCUCAAGUAGCCUAUGGAGAGGAUGCAAGGCUUCCAGCUGAUGCCCUCAGCCAGGCUCAGUAGCAGCCAGAACUAGCCUACCAACGAACCUGCUGAUCAUGUGCAUAAGCCACCUUGAACGUCGAUCCUCCUGCCUGGUGGAGCCAUCCCAGCUGAUGCCACAUGAAGCAGACACAAGCUGUCCCUACUAAGCUCUGCUCAAGUUGGAUAUUCAUGAGUGAAAUAAAUGACUG